GGCUCAAUGGUCUAGUGGUAUGAUUCGCGCUUCGGGUGAUGGAUCCAGGCUUCUUCCUGGCAUCCGCCCAUUACUUGGACAGCACAAGUAAAACUGCAAUGUGCGAGGUCUCGGGUUCGAAUCCCGAUUGAGCCC